ACAAAGAGUAUAAAUGCCCCAUUCUACCAUAAGCCUCAAUCUUGAAUCUUAACAGGAACUCACAGAAGGUUGACUGAACGACUAACAUGUAUUGAGUGAUUAUAGGCACCUUGUUCUCUCCUAAGCCCUGUGAGAAUUAACUCAUUCAGUCCUCACAAUAAUCCUACCAGCGUUGAUGAGGCUACUCCACCUGCCUGCCACUUUUCCAAGACUGAGUCCUCUUCUGAUAAAGAAUAAAAAAUGCAGUGACCUCCUCACCUCCUUCUGAAAUGAACACUGAGCCUACCCACCACACCAUGAUGAGAAGACCAUUCAUAUUACAAACUCUUGGUAAUGUAAAGUAAAAACACCGACAGUCAAAAGAAUCAGCAUCUUUGCCUGCCUACUACCUGAAAGUCUUUCCUGUAUAUAAAUAGAAUAAAGAAAGAAAAGAAAAAAAAG